CUGCGCUGUGGUGCCCUGAGAGUUGUCAAGGUUUUGGUUGUGGAGUAUCCGAGAGGGGAGCAAGGGCGGCAACGGUUGUAAAAUGCCGAAUAAAUCAAAAAAGGAUAAGGAGUCCCCUAAAUCUGGCAAAGUGAGCAAGAGUGGAGGACAAGAGAAUACAGAGCAUGAGAGCUCUAACAGGAAGACUAGCAACAGUGUUCCUCCCACCACUCAGCUGCUAAAGGGGAAGCAGCCAGGUUCCCAGACGCCUGUCAAAAAGGACAAGAGACAGAGCUCCUCUCGCUUCAGCUUGAGCAACAACAGGGAGCUGCAGAAACUGCCGGCUUUCAAAGAUGUUCCCCCAGCGGAGCAGGAGAAGCUUUUCAUCCAGAAGUUGCGGCAGUGCUGCGUCCUCUUCGAUUUUGUCUCAGACCCACUGAGCGAUCUAAAAUGGAAGGAGGUGAAACGGGCGGCGCUGAGCGAGAUGGUGGAGUACAUCACCCACAACAGGAACGUCAUCACAGAACCCAUCUACCCAGAGGUGGUUCACAUGUUUGCUGUGAACAUGUUUAGGACGUUGCCACCAUCAUCAAACCCCACAGGUGCGGAGUUUGACCCAGAGGAGGACGAGCCCACACUAGAGGCUGCAUGGCCACAUCUACAGCUUGUUUAUGAAUUCUUCCUACGGUUCUUAGAGUCUCCAGACUUUCAACCAAACAUAGCCAAAAAGUAUAUCGACCAGAAGUUUGUAAUGCAGCUCUUAGAACUGUUUGACAGUGAAGACCCCAGGGAAAGAGAUUUUUUAAAGACCACUCUCCAUCGCAUCUACGGGAAGUUCCUGGGCCUGCGAGCGUACAUUAGGAAACAGAUUAAUAACAUAUUUUAUAGGUUCAUUUAUGAGACUGAACAUCAUAAUGGAAUAGCAGAAUUAUUGGAAAUAUUAGGCAGCAUAAUCAAUGGAUUUGCAUUACCAUUGAAAGAAGAGCACAAGAUAUUCCUUCUAAAGGUUCUACUACCAUUACACAAAGUCAAGUCUCUAAGUGUUUAUCACCCACAGCUGGCCUACUGUGUGGUUCAGUUCUUAGAAAAGGAUAGCACCCUCACAGAGCCGACGGUGAUGGCUUUGUUAAAGUAUUGGCCAAAGACUCACAGUCCAAAAGAGGUGAUGUUCCUCAAUGAGCUGGAGGAGAUCCUAGACGUCAUCGAGCCAUCAGAGUUUGUCAAAGUCAUGGAGCCUCUCUUCAGACAGCUGGCCAAGUGUGUGUCCAGCCCGCACUUUCAGGUGGCAGAACGAGCUCUGUACUACUGGAAUAAUGAGUACAUAAUGAGCCUCAUUAGUGACAAUGCUGCCAAGAUCCUGCCCAUCAUGUUCCCCGCCCUCUACCGCAACUCCAAGACCCACUGGAACAAGACGAUCCAUGGGUUAAUCUACAACGCUCUGAAACUCUUCAUGGAGAUGAACCAGAAGUUGUUUGACGACUGCACCCAGCAGUUCAGAGCCGAGAAGAGCAAAGAAAAGGCCAAAUGGAAAGAGAGAGAGGAAGCGUGGUUGAAGAUUGAAAAUCUUGCAAAAUCUAACCCACAGUUUCUGAUGCACAUUGACACUGCGGGUCUAGACGGUCCAAUUGACAUGGAGACUGACGGACCGCUGCUUGAUGAUGUCAGCCUGCUCAAGAAAACUGUAGAAGAAGAAGCCACACAGAUCUUAAAAGAUCAGCGAAAGGAGCGCCCGUUGAUGCGGAGGAAAUCAGAACUCCCCAAGGACAUCUGCACCGUCACAGCGUUGGAGUUACACAGGAGGGCCGAGGAAAUGUUGACGACACAUGACGGCCACUAGGAGAACCCACCCCAAAUCUACCCAAAACCAGCAGCAUCCACAGAGGAACCACAGCCUACAGAGGCCAGCACAACAACAACAACAACAACAACAACAACAACAACAACAAAACAACUCUGGUAUCUCAGUCCAGUCUAGCACAAACACAGAACUGAACUGUCCCAGCUCCACAUGACACAGAAAAUGUCUACAGUCGCACACUUAAGCCUGUUUGGGCUUGGUAGGGACAAAGAGGUGCUGGAUGGUCCUCCAUGACCACGACAUGCAUCACACCCCGAACUUCACUCAAGAAACUGUUGUUGUCAUCUCUUUCCUCCCCCAUUUCUCUGAUUUCCUUUACAUGUUGUGUUUCUUGGGGUGCUGUGCUGCCCCCCUCUGGUCAUUUCUCUCAGGUGUUCUGUUCUUUGUGAGUAUGUGUGAGUGUGAGCUGUCUUCUCUUCUUGCCUCUUCUUUAUAGAUGUCAUGUGUUUGUAUGUUUAAUAUGAGUACCCUCCACAGAGGAAACCUUUGGUUUGAUUUGUUAAAAAAAAAAAGGAUCAGUUUCUGAGACAAUAUCAGUUUCUAUAUAUUGAAAAUUAGCUAUUUUUCUCAUUACAUUGGACCAGGACAGCUGUUUCUACUUUUUCCUACAUGGUAUAUUUGAAGCUCUUCUACUUCCUAUGCUAUCCACAAAACUGUUCUGUUUGAAAAUUACUUAAUUCACAUUUAACCCUAGUAGAUUUAUAAUCAUUCUGUGAAUCAGGACAGGGUCGUCUGGAUUAAAAAGUUUUCAUCACGCAGUGCUGGCAGAUUUAUGUCACCGUUUAAAGUUAAGUUUAGUGCCAACUUCUCUCAUUAGUUGAACCCCUCUCUGAAAAUAACAUUUGAUUUGUGUAGGCAAUAAUAUCAGACAGGUUGCAGUGUGUGUCGACAGCUUGAAUGUUGAGGUGGUUUGUUAUUUCAAGUGUGGAUUAGUCAUUUGGAUGAGUCCAGCCUGUUACAUGGGACAUGGUUGUUUGAACAUUUUUGUUCGUCCUUUCACCUCCAGCCAUGGUAGGAGCUUAUUAAACAUGAUGAUUAGUAUUCAUACAUGUGAGGCUUUUUGUAGGGCAGAGAUGUAUUUGCUCGUCUUGGAUUUCCACGAUGUUGCUGUAUGUUGAGAGAAUUCAAACAAGGGGCAGAAACUUUGCUGAAAAGCGAUCACUUUCUUCGCUUUUUUCUACUCUUCUCAAGCAAGACCCUUUUAUUUAUAAAACACUUGUUCGAGAUUAGACUGCUUAUUAUGCGAGGUGUGUUUGGUUUGAAGAGGUCGAACAUGAGCCUUUCUUUUCACAGUGCCUUUUAUAGUCUAAAGGGGAAAAUUGCUCAACAGAGAAUCGAGUAGCAGCAUGAGCUGAAAUGCCAGAUCAUUGAAAAAGAAAAAUGUUACCUUUGUUUCCAAAAACAGAUUUUUUUUUUUUUUUUUUUUUUUUUUAGAAGAGAAGCAGAGUGGUCGCCCCAAACCACUUUAGCAAUGAAGCACUUCCUGAUAAAACUUGAAAGAAAAUAGAAACACAACUGAAAAACAAACUAGUAAAAGAUUUGAAAUCCGUGAUGCUGUCUGUCGUGGUGUGCGGGGUCACCUCCUUUGGGUGCCUGUCGAUAAGCGCUAGCCUCCACAGGAGAGGAAAUCACCUCCCAUUGUGAUUUUUCUGUUCUGUGCCCCCCUCUGUCCCAUUCCACUUUCUAUUUGUGACAUUGUUUGACCCCUCUGCCCAGACGUGCACUCUGGCUGUGAAGCCCCGGCAUUUGGAGAAAUCCUACUCCCCCCAUAGGGCCCGUUGUUUGGACAUCUGUUUGAUCUGCUUCUGGAUGCUUGUGAGUUCUUUUUGUUGUGGUUUUAUUCUUCCUUUGCCUGCAGAACCUCUCGUCAGUGUUUCAACUGAAUGUGCAAACUGUAAAUAUUACUGCUGUCACGUUGUUACGUUUUCUCUAUGUUUUGUCUUGAAGAACAACAUUCACUAAAGGAUUUCUCAGACACCUCUUCCCCUUCUACCUUGGAUUUGAUGAGAAGAAAACAAUGGUUGGUCGUCACACAGGAGUGUCCCAUAGAUGAGCACAGCAAAUGUCUUUCUGGGGAAGUGGCAUGAAGCUGCUCUCAUCUGUGUUGUCAGGUUAGCAUCAGUUUUCACAUCAGAAGAGAGGAGCUGUAGAGGACAGGAUGUUCUGACAGCCUUCUUUAACUGUCAGUGUUCAAAUCUUCCUGAGCAAACCCCCCCCCUGGUCUCAGCCAAGAAUAAAAAAACAUCUUGUCACGACAGGAGAUGUCAGAACCUAUUGCCAUGGAAACAGUGCUCAAAAGUUUGGAGCGUCGACCCCCCUUGUGACUACAUCCAAUCAGAUUUUAGGAAAAGCUUUCAGCGCAGCAUUACUUUAGUCUGAAGAGUGGUGUGGGUACAUCUGUGUGGACCCAGUUCUGUUUGUGUGGUAAUGUUUGUGAGGAGUGGGAGCCAGAAAGUGACUCAUCACACCACCCCGGGGGUCUGAGAUCCGACUCAGCUCCAUGGUCUCCUGCCCACCUCUCCAUCCUUUCUCUCACACUGAACCUCCGUAUCACCCAAAGUCCUCCUGUAUAAAAAAGUGUCGAGUCACGCCUCGCACCUCAGCUGCUCCCCCCUUCUCCCGAGGACAGACGGCUGGGGUGCAGCCCAGUCCUACUUUCUUUGAUGCUUGACACUCGGCUUCAAAGUCCUCAGCAUCAAAGCCUGGGACUUGGGAUCAGACCCAGGAGCGACCCGACAUCCUGCCUUACAAGCACACAAGAAAGACACAGAAUAGAGCUGUUUCUUCUUUAGAUCAUUCCGGAUGUUGCAAGGCCGA